rnacentral:rRNA from 1 species
CAGAGGGUGCGAGCGUUGUUCGGAAUUACUGGGCGUAUAGCGCGCGCAGGCGGCUUUUUAAGUCCACUGGUCAAAUGCCGGGGCUCAACCCCGUGCCCGCCAGGGAUACUGGAGAGCUGGAGACACGUAGAGGCAAGCGGAAUUCCGGGUGUAGCGGUGGAAUGCGUAGAGAUCCGGAAGAACACCGGAGGCGAAGGCGGCUUGCUGGGCGUAGUCUGACGCUGAGGCGCGAAAGCGUGGGGAGCGAACAGGAUUAGAUACCCUGGUAGUCCACGCCGUAAACGAUGGGCACUAGGCGCCGGGGGGAUCGACCCUCUCGGUGCCGUAGCUAACGCGUUAAGUGCCCCGCCUGGGGAGUACGGCCGCAAGGCUG